CCUACGGGAGGCAGCAGUGGGGAAUAUUGCACAAUGGGGGAAACCCUGAUGCAGCAACGCCGCGUGGGUGAAGAAGUAUUUCGGUAUGUAAAGCCCUAUCAGCAGGGAAGAGAAUGACGGUACCUGACUAAGAAGCCCCGGCUAACUACGUGCCAGCAGCCGCGGUAAUACGUAGGGGGCAAGCGUUAUCCGGAUGGACUGGGUGUAAAGGGAGCGUAGACGGUUGUGCAAGUCUGAAGUGAAAGCCCGCGGAUCAACUGCGGAACGGCUUUGGAAACUGUGUAACUGGAGUGCUGGAGGGGUAAGCGGAAUUCCUGGUGUAGCGGUGAAAUGCGUAGAGAUCAGGAGGAACACCGGCGGCGAAGGCGGCUUACUGGACAGUAACUGACGUUGAGGCUCGAAAGCGUGGGGAGCAAACAGGAUUAGAUACCCGAGUAGUC
rnacentral:rRNA from 1 species